AACGAACGCUGGCGGCAGGCUUAACACAUGCAAGUCGAGCGCCCCGCAAGGGGAGCGGCAGACGGGUGAGUAACGCGUGGGAAUCUACCCAUCCCUACGGAAUAGCUCCGGGAAACUGGACUUAAUACCGUAUACGCCCUACGGGGGAAAGAUUUAUCGGGGAUGGAUGAGCCCGCGUUGGAUUAGCUAGUUGGUGGGGUAAAGGCCUACCAAGGCGACGAUCCAUAGCUGGUCUGAGAGGAUGAUCAGCCACAUUGGGACUGAGACACGGCCCAAACUCCUACGGGAGGCAGCAGUGGGGAAUAUUGGACAAUGGGGGCAACCCUGAUCCAGCCAUGCCGCGUGAGUGAUGAAGGCCUUAGGGUUGUAAAGCUCUUUCACCGGGGAAGAUAAUGACGGUACCCGGAGAAGAAGCCCCGGCUAACCUCGUGCCAGCCGCCGCAGUAA
rnacentral:rRNA from 1 species